GGUGAGCUGGUGCAAAAGGAAGCAUGUUCGUAACCCUAAAAGGGGAAGCGAAAGAUAGAGGUUCGAAUCCUCUUCUUACUC